rnacentral:rRNA from 1 species
AGUGAACGCUGGCGGUAGGCCUAACACAUGCAAGUCGAACGGCAGCACAGUAAGAGCUUGCUCUUACGGGUGGCGAGUGGCGGACGGGUGAGGAAUACAUCGGAAUCUACUUUUUCGUGGGGGAUAACGUAGGGAAACUUACGCUAAUACCGCAUACGACCUACGGGUGAAAGCAGGGGAUCUUCGGACCUUGCGCGAUUGAAUGAGCCGAUGUCGGAUUAGCUAGUUGGCGGGGUAAAGGCCCACCAAGGCGACGAUCCGUAGCUGGUCUGAGAGGAUGAUCAGCCACACUGGAACUGAGACACGGUCCAGACUCCUACGGGAGGCAGCAGUGGGGAAUAGUGGACAAUGGGCGCAAGCAUGAUCCAGCCAUACCGAGUGGGUGAAGAAGGCCUUCGGGUUGUAAAGCCCUUUUGUUGGGAAAGAAAAGCAGCAGGUUAAUACCCCGCUGUUCUGACGGUACCCAAAGAAUAAGCACCGGCUAACUUCGUG